rnacentral:tRNA from 1 species
GGGCAGGUGGCGAAACCGGCAUCCGCGGGGCUCUUAAAAAGCCCUGUCCGCGAGGACGUGUGGGUUCGAAUCCCACCCUGCCCACCA